rnacentral:rRNA from 1 species
UACAGAGGGGGCAAGCGUUGUUCGGAUUCACUGGGCGUAAAGGGUGCGUAGGUGGCGAGGUAAGUCGGAUGUGAAAGCUCGGAGCUCAACUCCGAAAUGGCAUUGGAAACUACCUUGCUCGAGGGUUGGAGGGGGGACUGGAAUUCUCGGUGUAGCAGUGAAAUGCGUAGAUAUCGAGAGGAACACCAGUGGCGAAGGCGAGUCCCUGGACAACUCCUGACACUGAGGCACGAAAGCUAGGGGAGCAAACAGG